GUUCAGAUAGCUCACUUGGUUAGAGCGUGGUGCUGAUAACGCCAAGGUUGCAGGUUUGAUCCCCAUAUAGGAUG